AACAGGAUUCCCCUAGUAACGGCGAGUGAAGCGGGAAGAGCUCAAAUUUGAAAUCUGGCGGUCCUCGCGGCCGAUCCGAGUUGUAGUCUAGAGAGGCGUAUUCCGCGGCGGACCACGUACAAGUCCUUUGGGAUGAGGCGUCAUAGAGGGUGAGAAUCCCGUCCAUGACGUGGACUACCGUCGCUUUGCGUUGCGCCUUCGAAGAGUCGAGUUGUUUGGGAAUGCAGCUCAAAACGGGUGGUAAAUUCCAUCUAAAGCUAAAUACAGGCGAGAGACCGAUAGCGAACAAGUACCGUGAGGGAAAGAUGAAAAGAACUUUGGAAAGAGAGUUAAACAGUACGUGAAAUUGCUGAUAGGGAAACGCUUGAAGUCAGUCGUCUCGGCGAGGACUCAGCCCGGCUUUUGUCGGGUGCACUUCCUCCGUCGAGGGGUCAGCGUCGGUUUCGGGCGCCGGAGAAGGGUGGGGGGAAUGUGGCACCUCCGGGUGUGUUAUAGCCCCCCGCCGGACACGGCGCCUGGGACCGAGGACCGCGGCGCGUUUCGGCGCGUCUAGGAUGCUGGCAUAAUGGCUUUAAACGACCCGUCUUGAAACACGGACCAAGGAGUCUAACAUGCUCGCGAGUGUUCGGGUGGAAAACCCUUGCGCGUAAUGAAAGUGAAA
rnacentral:rRNA from 1 species